GACCGUGCGAAGGUAGCGUAAUCAUUUGUCUUUUAAAUAGAGACCUGUAUGAAUGGCAUAACGAGGGUUUAACUGUCUCCUUCCCCUAGUCAAUGAAAUUGAUCUGCCCGUGCAGAAGCGGACAUAAAUACAUAAGACGAGAAGACCCUAUGGAGCUUUAGACAAAAGAUCAAACAUGUAAAGAAACCAAAAACCCAAAAGGAACACAAAGACCGUAAAACCAGACGUAAACUGAUCCAAAUGUCUUCGGUUGGGGCGACCAUGGGGGAAAGAAAAACCCCCACGAGGAACAGGGAAUACCCCUAAACUUAGAGAGACACCUCCAAGUAACAGAAAAUCUGACCAAAAAUGACCCAGGAUAUUAAUCCUGAUCAACGAACCAAGUUACCCUAGGGAUAACAGCGCAAUCC
rnacentral:rRNA from 1 species